GGUGCUCAACCGGCGAUUGAGAUUUGGAGGGAGACUAGGAGACCCCGGCGAAAACGAGCGUGCUAGCGGAGGCUCCGGGAAUGCAGGGUGAUAGGGCCCAGUCUAUGCUCCGGUUGUGUUGUUGGGAUUUUCGGGAUGGGCCUUCCUAUCCAUAAGUUUGUCUUUAUACUGCAUAUUAAUUCACACUUUUGGGGAAGCUUCUGGACGGGAUUUAGACAAGGAAACGGAGACCCGUGCGAAAUCGAGCAUCCUGGUGGUGCCUCGACCAAAGCGGGUCGACGGAUAGCGCGGUGAGCACGGAGCAUGGUGCAGCGAGUUGGAUAGGCGGCAAGAGAGGUGACCACGGGUGUGGCUUGGGGAGCUCCGCACACAUGAAGUGAUGAUGAGUGCAUCCGACCCCACCAUGCUGCUGGUCCUGGAGAACAAGGGGUAUAUGAACCAGAAAUGAUGUGAUAUACUUGGUUAUUUGAACAUGAAGGUCAGCCGCGGGGUGGCGCGACAUGGGCUCAUUACAAGCUUCGGCUGGAUCAAAUAGUGGGCCUUCUAUAUAUAUAUAUAUUCAGCUGUAUCAUUUCUUACUAUAUAUAUCUUCCUGUCGACCAGACGAAACCAUACAUGGAUCCUUUGCCUCCUUUCUUGCUCAGACCCCAUGAUACAACCUCGGCGGCUGUCCAGCGACUAACAGGGUGCUCCACCGAUGGUGAAAAUACCUCACAUAAUGAUGUUGGAUAUUAGUGGCUGAGUAUUGAAGCAAAAUGUGACAGUUGCAUGAUGUGCUUGACUGUUUAUUUGCAUACAGCAAUAUCAUCUUUUGGAGAUAAUACAGCCGUAUGGCUGUUAGAUGAGACCAUGUCGGAAGACCCUGCUGCUAUGUAAGCAAAAGGAUUCAUGAUACCCACGGUGAAAACAGAGAUAACAUGCUACAGUUAGAGCAGCAUUGAGAAACCAAGGACACGAAAUGAGUCUGAAAAAUGCUAUGGGCUGAUUCGUUCUAGCUAGGCUAUGUGUGGUAGAAGUUGUACUCACAGGAAGACUAUCGUGCUUUGUAUAAACCACGUUCUAUGAUUCACUUCUGUUAUGCUUAUUUACAUUCCAGUGUUAGGACUGAAAUCCAUCUAUUGUAAUGAAUUUGGUUGUAUUGGCAUUACCUAUUUGACUUAGGCUUGGUUCAUCACAUAUCGAUUGUUUUUCUUGUAACCCGCUGCUUGUAUGACCUAAAACUGUCAUGUAUAUGAGGCAAGUUAUUAGCAAUGUUUCACAUUUUCUUA